rnacentral:rRNA from 1 species
UACGGAGGAUCCAAGCGUUAUCCGGAUUUAUUGGGUUUAAAGGGUGCGUAGGCGGAUUGAUAAGUUAGAGGUGAAAUGUCCGGGCUCAACUCGGGAACUGCCUCUAAUACUGUUGAUCUAGAGAGUAGAUGCGGUAGGCGGAAUGUAUGGUGUAGCGGUGAAAUGCUUAGAGAUCAUACAGAACACCGAUUGCGAAGGCAGCUUACCAAUCUAUAUCUGACGUUGAGGCACGAAAGCGUGGGGAGCAAACAGG